GCGAGAGUGGCGGAAUUGGUAGACGCACUGGAUUUAGGAUCCAGCGCCUAUGGCGUAGGAGUUCAAGUCUCCUCUCUCGCACCA
rnacentral:tRNA from 1 species